UGAGAGCAUUGCGUUCGAUUAGCAAUUGCUGGCACAUUGUUGCGUUCCCUCCGCUCAGACCCAGACCCAGACCCAGGCCCAGGCCCGCACUGAUGUAAUUUAUUUUAGAACGCAAUUGCAAAACAAGUUCGCAAACUACGAGUGCACACACAACACGGCGCCACGAAGUGCAGGAGUAAUGUAAACAAAAUCAUAGGCGAGUGCAAGUAGUGCAGGUAUUGUAGAUAUUUCGACUUUGGGAUACCCGCUAAUUUGCAUCUGUGGUCUUUCUCAAGAGUUUCAGUUUCCUUGUAUCAUAACAAGUGCGGAUGCAGUAAAAACAAAUGGAUGUGGACUUAUUUCAGUGGGAUAUCACAGGACUAAAAGUCAUGUUGCUCCCACUUUAAUAGUCACUGGGAAAAAGGGGCGCCAUAGCGAACAAGAUUGUGGCUGUUACAAAUAUUUACACGAAUUUAAUAUAUACAUUUGUUUUAGCUGUGGCAGGACAGA